GGGGGAACACCAGUUGUAACUUUCGAAAAAUCAAUUUUUUUUUUUGUGCAUUUUCUUAAAGUACACAUAUUUAGAAAUGUGUCUGUAAAUUUCAAAGUUGAUCCGGUGAAAAAUAAAUGAGAUAUACAGAACACUGCAUCGGCGCGUCCCGUGGCUUCAUACAAGGUGGCCAGCCAUAACUGACCCUAACGACAGAUGGCCUUUUCCUAUGAUUUAGAAACGGCAACCACUGCGGAAGAGUUAUUAUAUGGUCCAAGAAUCGAUGACUCUUUGUAACUUGGAAACAAAAUUUCUUCUGAACAAAAAAAAACGAAGUAUACUUGCAGAAUGCUGGUCACCGCAAUUCGCCUUUUUUCUUAAGACGCCACUUCAAUGGCUCAUAUCUCCAAAAGUUUUUGUUAAAAAAAUUUUUUUUUUCUUUUAAAUUACAGCUUUUUACAUGUACUUUUAACUAAUAAAUAGUAUUCUUUAAAAA